UAUCGUCACUGAUUUUGUAGUGUUCGUUGUAACAGUACGGUGCUUUUUAAAAUGUUUGUUAUAGCUGGAUGCAG
rnacentral:lncRNA from 1 species